rnacentral:rRNA from 1 species
CCUACGGGAUGCAGCAGUGAGGAAUAUUGGUCAAUGGGCGGGAGCCUGAACCAGCCAAGUCGCGUGAGGGAAGACGGUCCUACGGAUUGUAAACCUCUUUUGCCGGGGAGCAACGGGGUCCUUGCGAGGGCCCAAUGAGAGUACCCGGAGAAAAAGCAUCGGCUAACUCCGUGCCAGCAGCCGCGGUAAUACGGAAGGCCCGAGCGUUAUCCGGAUUCAUUGGGCUUAAAGGGAGCGUAGGCGGGCGUUCAAGUCAGCUGUAAAAUCGCGCGGCUCAACCGCGCCCCGCAGUUGAAACUGGACGCCUUGAGUUCACAACAGGCAGGCGGAAUUCGUGGUGUAGCGGUGAAAUGCAUAGAUAUCACGAGGAACCCCGAUUGCGAAGGCAGCCUGCCGGGGUGCGACUGACGCUGAGGCUCGAAGGUGCGGGUAUCAAACAGGAUUAGAUACCCGUGUAGUC